GAGUUCGAACCUGGAAUCUGCGAAUACCUCUUUUUACCCCUUUAGCCGCAGCUUUGGUUUCCUUUUUUUUUUUUUUUUUAAUCCAAAUGCGCCUUCCCAUUGUUUUUGUGAUUCCUUCAUAAACAAGCUGCAGCUAGCUCACUGGUUUUGAAAUCCACUUACUGUUCCGCCAUGGAUGAAGCUCAAGCUCAGCCGGUUUGCGCUCAAGAAGCUCUCGAUUUGCUCAAUUGCGUUACGGAGUCUCCGUUCGAUCAAGAGAAAUGCUACCGUCUCCUUCAUUCUCUGCGAGAAUGCGUGCUCAGUAAGAAAGUGAAAAAGUUCUCGUUGGCUGAUGAAGAACGAGCAAAACCAAGUGGUAAGAAGAGCACUUGAAGGAAGCAAUUGAAGUUUCCAUUUGUAGGAGACAUUGUCUUAUUUGGGACUGAAUUCUAUCAAAAUGAUGACACCUUUGAAUUCCUUCAUGGAGUUAGUUCCAAACAAAUCCAAUAAAUUUUGUUGAAGUUGAAAGAAUUAUUUUGGGAAUCUUUCUAGCAGAUCGAUCUCUGUUGUUUGUGAGCAAUACAUUAUUCUGGGAAGCUUUUUUACUCUUUA